GGGUCGAUGGCGUAGCUGGUUAUCGCAUCUGUCUAACAUAGGAUAUUCCCACAUUCGUGUCUUCACAGAAGGUCCUCAGUUUGAAUCUGGGUCGACUCA
rnacentral:tRNA from 1 species